ACGGAAGGUAGCAGUGGGGAAUAUUGCACAAUGGGCGCAAGCCUGAUGCAGCGAUGCCGCGUGAGGGAAGAAGGUUUUCGGAUUGUAAACCUCUGUCAUCGGGGACGAUAAUGACUGUACCCGAGCAGGAAGCUCCGGCUAACUACGUGCCAGCAGCCGCGGUAAUACGUAGGGAGCGAGCGUUAUCCGGAAUUACUGGGUGUAAAGGGAGUGUAGGCGGGACCGUAAGUCAGAUGGGAAAUAUGCCGGCUCAACUGGCAGACUGCAUUUGAAACUGCGGUUCUUGAGUGAAGUAGAGGUAAGCGGAAUUCCUAGUGUAGCGGUGAAAUGCGUAGAUAUUAGGAGUAACAUCAGUGGCGAAGGCGGCUUACUGGGCUUUAACUGACGCUGAGGCUCGAAAGCGUGGGGAGCAAACAGGAUUAGAUACCCUGGUA
rnacentral:rRNA from 1 species